UCUGAGGUUGAACGGUUAAACUACUUUGUGC
rnacentral:piRNA from 1 species